CAGUGAGCAAAGCCAGCCACCUCUUGACAAGAGUGAGAAAGUUUAUAUAUUCUUUUCCCUCUCUUGCUACCCCAGUGUUUGGUUUCUUAUGAAGCCAUGGAGAGACAAUGACAGCAUACUGGGGAUCAAACACUGCUACCCAGGAAAUUUUAAUCAUUGGAGAAACACCACCUUUUUUUCCCAUCAGUUGUUGCCAGGCAACAGCAGGCAGCCCGUCUGCCCUCGACUUUUGUCCUGUGAUCAUUCAGCUCUGCAGGGACCCGUGUCAGGCAUCCCCCUCAGAGACAGCCUGUAACACAUGGUCCAGGAACAGCCCUCAAGAAACUUCAAGAUUACUUGCUAUAGAAAGUUGAAAGAAGGCAGAUGGCCUGAGCUUUAUUUUUCUAGUGAACAAUUUCCUCUCAAUCUAAGGGGUCCUAAUGGAAAGACCCUGAAUUAAAACAUGUGUGAAAGUACAAUUCACCCCUUCGUUUCUCACCCAGGCAGAACAACCCUGGCGAACCACACUGAAGAGAGAAUUUGUCUUGAUGAAGCAAAUUAAUGCCGACAUUUUUCCAUCCAGUGAAAAAAUUAGGACUCAUGCCCUCUUCCAGCAAAGCGCCUCGCUGGCCACAUCUGUUCUGCUGGAGUUACCAGUGGCUAAUGUUGGGUUGUUGAUUUCAGGAACUGUUGAGACAGUGUGGUUUUAACAGUCAACAAAUAGCUUCUCAGAUGUUCCAAACAUUAAGACAUUGGAGUGAUGCCUCGCUUUUCUCAAAUGCGCCUCAUAAUAUCACUCCGCAGCACUUGGAACACUUCUGAUGGAUAAGUCCUGUGUGUUGCCUAUUCCCAGAGUGUUUUUAGUUGAUGUAAGGAUCUUAGUGCAAAGGAAGCAUAAUUUACAGUAUGACAAAAUGGUAUGUAUAAUUGGAUCCACACAGAAACUAGCUGUUCCAUAUUGAGCCAAGAACAUUUAUCCAGACAGCUUCCAAAUAAUACACACAUAAUACACCGACUUCUGAAAAUUAAGAGCCAAAUGCCACACUAGUGGUUUUGUGGGGCCGUCCUUACUCACAAUGCCAUAUGCUGAUGUUUCACAGGUAUAAUGUUUACGAACAUCUUACCUUUGUAAGUUAGCAUGCUAAAAUUUGUUAUUACCACAAAACACAAAGCACAGUUGAGGCUGUCAGGUGGAAAUGUCAUUAGUUAUUUCAGAUAUUUGGUUAAAUUGGACAAAUUACACUUGACCUGAUAGAGGCACCAGAGGAAAAGUGAGGGUUUAACCAACGUGAUUAGAGUUCAUCCUGAGGGGAACAUGAAUGUGUUGAACCAGAUUACAGGGCAAUCCAUCCAGUAGUUGUCGAGAUGUUUUACUAAACACAAAGAAAAUGUCAACCUCAUGGUUGUGCUAGAAGAAGGGCCAUGGGAUUUACCAUCAUCAGUUGGAUUCAUCUUCUUGGAGUCAUGUUUGCACACACCUUUUUUGCAAUGGCAUCCAACUGUUUGUGAGAGAUUGCAGCCUGGAGUAACCAAUAUUGCCAUCCCUUUAGCACAGUGAUAAAGUGGCUAAAAAACAGCAUUCAGUGUUUUAAUGUAUGUUCAGUAUGUUGAUUAAAUGAACAGACGUAUGAGUGUUUGCCAUCGUGCCCCAGAAGUGGCACAUCUGAUUUGAGAUUACAGAACACAUUUGUAAAAAUGAGAAACCCAAACACAAGAUCGCUGUGAUGUUCAUGAAAAAAGUAACAUCAGUUAUCUGUCACAGCUCUGAUUCUGUUUAAUGUUGGUCACACAUUGUUGUAGUAACCAGCAAAAGAGAAAGAAUCUCUUCUCCAAGAGGCUGGAGGCUCUAAAAAUUAACAAGUGUUGAUUAAUCUCACACAAGCAAUCCAUUUCAUGUUUAAAAACCAGUCAUAUAAAAAUACCCACGACUCAUAAAACAGCGGGAUUCAAGAGCUGGUGUUUUUAUAAUUAAAGCCAAAGCUCAUUCCUGCUAAUGACCAGAGUGGGAGUGUUUGGCUGGGACAGUACAUGUGUACUGCACACAGGGUAAAUCCAAACAAUGUGUAGCGACUGUAGAAAAUAAAAUAAAGUAAGAAAUACAGGAAAAUAGCAACAACAACAAAAAUCAAAGCUGCAAACAGCGAUGGGCGGGCCCUUGCACCCCUUGCGAGCCGCGGGAAUCGCAGCCAGCGCAGCCACGCACAAGAGUCCUCUAUGUCCUCUCCUCUCUCCUGCACAACAGUAUACAGCAACAGAAAAGACAUGGCCCCCU